rnacentral:misc_RNA from 1 species
GGCGCCAUGCGGUUUAGUAGCCUGUUCCUGCGGGCGGCCGGCCCUCCCCUCCCCGGCGCAUCCCUCCUCCCCCCUUGGGCCGGUGGCUGACCUUGCCGAUCAGCUGAUCGCCGGCCGCGCCCUAGUGGUGGGCGGGGGGCUUGUGCCGGGGAUGAGCUAAGUACUGUGAGGCUGCAAUGUUUGUUUCUUUUCUUUUGUGGGUAUCUGAUACUCUAUGCCUAUGAUUUUGCGAACUUUGGGCCUUUGAGCCUUAUUUGUAAUACCAAUAGCGCGCGAUUCGUCAAGCUUUGUUCAUGUUUCGAAGUACUGGUAUUUGUUUUGCGUAGAUCCAGCGGCGCCGCCGCGCUCUAUUGGCUGCCAUGUUGGCGAGCGGGGCGAGUGCAGGCAUUUUUGGUCCAAGAUCGGUCACGGGCCGUGAUGAAGAACUUGUUUGUCUUUUGAUUCGCCUUAAUAUAGGCGGUUGCCCUUGUCGGAGUAGUGGGAGGCGAGCAGGCCCGACGAAACGCGACAGUCGAAACGGUACAAUACAAGAACCAGUUCCGACAACCAUCGUCUGGGUGUACAGGCGGCUACAGUUUCGACUCGACCUCUGAGUCGGCUGCACCUCUGCUCCCUCCUGGCUUCUGGAGAGUUCUUCUGCACCACGAGCAGCUACAGCUACAGCAGCUGCUGCCACACACCUUACUGCAACUGCUGCACAUCUGGACGUGGACGAGCAGAUCUGCAUCCUGGCGGCUGGCACUGCACCCGCUCGGAGAACAGUGAGCAGUGGGUAUGGUGCUAAGGUUGAACCCUGGACUCUAGAGCUUUUGCAGCUGAACUGUGCUAGGGGGUGUGCUAUCACUACGCACAUGAUUGAGUAAAUCAGCGACACGAGAAGUGCAUCUGUAAAUGUAUUGACGUUGACUUGUGUUACUGUUUAUGCCUGUUGCCGUUGAUUGUUGGGUAGGAUUCGAACCUUGAACUUGCUAUUGGGUACUGGUGUGAUAGCAUUGAACGUAGUUUCCAACUUUGGGGAACCCUUGACUGUUAUCACAUUGGCCAUUGGGCGAGUGACAUCAUUCCUGUCCAGGACAAAUAUCUUGAUCGUCCAUUUGUUACUAUUAUCUUGCUACGUCGACCUCGCAUUGAAGUUGGACCUCACACCACCAGGCUUCAGAAGAUUGCUUUGAAUUUGAUAGUUAAAGUCUGGAUACAUUCGCUAUAGGUUGCUAAGCAAGAACAGAACUGAUUGAUUAAGGGCACUCACUGAUAGCUUCGGAUUCCUGACACAUUCCUGAAGCUGGCCACGCUGAACCUAUUUAGUCUACUUCCAUGGUUGUUUAACUUGCACAUUGAUAAUCCAUGAGCUCUCAGAGAUUGAAGGCGUGUCACCCAUUGAUCUUCAUUUUGCUUGGUCUUCAACUUGUCUCCUUAAUCUCAUUGAACAUGGACCUGAAUGUUGAGCGGCUCAAAGUGCAAGAGCUCAGGGAUGAGCUUGAAAAGAGAGGACAAGAUACAAGAGGAUCAAAGGAAGUUCUGAAAGAGAGGUUGAACCUGGUCCUCAAGGAAGAAGCCUUUGAAAUGGCAACUGACCCAAGAACUGCUGGUGAGCUGCGGGCAGUUACCGUGGAGGGGGCUGAAGAUGGUGCCUCACACGUGAAAACCAAGCCACCAGAUGGAGACGUUCAAGAUGUAUCAGAGGUUGGUGAUAGCGCCUCACAGCUGGCAGCUGGACCCCAAGUGGAACAUUCAGUUGCAUGUGGAUCGAGGUGCUCAGGGGGCUCGAUGCGAUCCCUACGUGCACAGGAGUCUGCCAAACGUGCUGCUGCAGAAGUGAGGCUUCGAUUCCUGAAGGAAAAGCAUCGUCUGGAAGCCCAAGAGAGAGAGCUGGAGAUGAAACGAGAAGAACUCAAACUUCAAGAGGAGAUUGCAGAAGCAGAGGCCAAGGAGGAGGCAUUUGCGAUGGCAAGCCAAGCGAGCUCCCAUUCUGGUGUGGCACACAAGUUGAAGAAACAGCAGCCCCGAUCGAAUGGCGCUGCUGAGCUAAACCCUCAACCCGUACCAACCAGAGCUCAGCCCCCUCAACCUCAGCAUGAUGGAGAGCAGGAGGUAAUCAAGAAACUUCUGACCGCCAGCCUGCUCCCAAGACCUGAUAUCCCAGUAUUCUCUGGAGAUGUGACUAGAUUCACUCAGUUCCUCCGAGCCUUUGACAACAGAGUUGCACACAUUGUCCAGGAAGACGACAGUAAAUUGUUCUAUCUGGAGCAGUUUACGAGCGGAGUGCCACGCGACAUCGUCCGAAGUUGCAUGAACAUGGCCACUGGAGGCUACCAAACAGCGAGGUCUCUGCUCGAGAAGAGAUAUGGAGAGCGAGACAAGAUAGCUGAUUCAUUCGUGAACAAGCUGAUGAACCGGCCUACUGUGAGGGCUGAUGACGUCACGACACUCGACAACUUCGCACUGGAGCUCCGGACGUGUGAAAACGCAGUCGGAAGUCUCCAGCAAGGCCUGAACGAGUUGGACCAUCCAAAGACGUUGAGAAAACUGCUGGAAAAGUUGCCCUACGCGUUACAGGAGAGGUGGAGAAGGGAGGUCGACGAUCUUACAGUUCGGAAGGGUCGUGCCGUGCGCUUCUCUGACUUGGUGCGCUUCGUCGAAAUCGAAGCGAGAGUGGCAUCAAAUUCCGCGUUUGGGAGACACAUGUUCCAGAAAACAGGAAACACCAAGCAAAGAGAGAAAGAAGCCAAAGUGAAUUUUGUUCGCCAAGAAGAGAGCGAGAGAAGAGAGCUUGUGAAGAAGCCAGUCUGUCCCUGCUGCGAAGAAGCUCAUACGUUGGAGAACUGCUCUGCGUAUGCGAAGCGCCCUCUCGAUGCCAGACGCCAGCUCAUCAGAGAUAAACGCCUCUGUUUUGGGUGUCUGAAACCUGGGCACCGUUCGAGGGAAUGUCGAAUGAGACUCACCUGUGGCGUCUGUGAAAGGAAGCACCCGUCUGUACUUCAUGUCUUCCAGGUGGCUUCAAUGGGAGUACCAACAGCAGGGGAAGCGCCACCUGCACCAGCCGUUGUGAGCGUCAUGUCCAACAGCGGGACGUCAACGAGGAUGCCGGCGGUACCAGUGAAGGUGCGGUAUGGAGAUGGUCCUAUCGUGGAGACGUACGCUUUUAUCGACAGUGGAAGUAGCCUGACGUUCCUGAGCAAGGAGCUUUUGAGCCAGUUGGGCAUCACAACAGCAAAGAAGUAUCAGCUUACUCUAACCACGAUGGCACAACAACCGGUCGAGCUUCAUACUUCAGCCGUCGACAACCUCCAAAUGUGUGACAUGGACGAAAACGAGCAAAUGCAGCUUCCGGAAGUGUUCGUCAUCGACAAGAUCCCAGUCAGUAGGACGGAGCUCUGUAAGGCCGAGGACGUGGAACCCUGGCCUCACGUAAGGGACGUGCUUCCAGAGGAGAUCGAAGCAGAAGUAGGCCUUCUGAUAGGCGUGAACGUACCAGAGGCCUUUGAACCCCUCGACUUCGUUCCCAGCUGUGACGGUGGGCCCUUCGCUGUCAAAACUCGCCUCGGCUGGGUCGUGAACGGCCCCGUCCGGUCCAGAAAACUGACUGAAGUAAGGGCAACGUCAAACAGGAUCAGGCUGCUGGAGAGGCAACUCUACCAGGACGAGGGUCUAGCAGCUGACGAACGUGGAUGGUCGAUCGAAGACCAUAUGUGGAUGGAAAAAGUGGAAGCUGGUUGCAUCAUGAAGGACGGACACUACGAGGUUCCCAUCCCACUGAAGAAGGAGGGAACCAUGCUACCAGACAACCGAGAGAUCUGCACGAGACGGCUACAAGGACUGAAAAGGAAGUUCCGAGACCAGAGGUUUGCCGACCGAUACAGCGAGGUGAUGAAGGACAUGUCGAAGAACGGAUUCGUGGAGAGAGUGAGGGCAGAAGACCUGACAAGAGACGAUGGACUUGUCAACUACAUUCCCCACCACGGUGUCUUCGGGAAGAAAGACAAACUCCGAGUUGUUUUUGAUUGUUCGAGCACCUUCAAGGGCGUCUCCUUGAAUGACGCAGUCCUGCAGGGCCCGUCUCUCUGCACUCCACUGAUUGACGUUCUACUGCGGUUCCGCCAGGAAGAAGUAGCUUUCAUGGGCGAUGUCAACUCAAUGUUCCAUCAGGUGUCUGUACCAGCCGACCAGCGCGACCUGCUCCGCUUUCUGUGGUGGCGAAACGGUGACCCUGCUGAAGACGUGGAAGUCUGGCGCAUGACGGUGCACCCGUUCGGGUUGAGAUCCAGCCCGAGCUGUGCGAGCUACGCCCUUCUACGGACAGCCGUCGACUUUGGCGACCUACACUCCACUGCAGCCUGUGAGACGAUCUCAAGCAACAUCUACGUUGAUGACCUGGUGAAGUCGGUGACGAAGAUCGAUGAAGCCAUCGACCUGGUCAGGGAGGUACGAGAGCUGUGCAGCCGGGGUGGAUUCCACCUAGCCAAAUUUGUCAGUAACCAGAGGAAAGUCCUACAAUCGAUCCCACCAGAAGACAGAGGGAAGAACGUGAAGCAACUGAACCUCGAGAAAGAACUUCCGUUGGAGAAGACACUGGGGGUUGAGUGGCGAGUCAACCCGGACGUCAUCGGCUUCUCAACCACGGAAGAUCGGAGAAUGCCAUGCUCGAGGAGGGGAAUGUUGUCGGUCAUCGGAUCAUUGUACGAUCCGAUGGGGAUGGCUGCACCAUUCGUCGUGUGCGGUCGUAUCAUUCUACAGGAACUAACACGACGACGCUACGAUUGGGACGACCCGGCACCGGAGGACAUUCAAGCUCAGUGGGAGCAAUGGAUCCGCGGCAGAGGACUACUUUCGACCAUCGGCGUCCCUAGAUGUGUACAGCCAGCUGGCCUUGGACCUAUUCAGACCCGAGAGCUCCAUCACUUCGCAGAUGCAAGCUCUGUCGCGUACGGCACGGUGUCCUACCUUCGAAUCGUCUGUUGUGACGGACAAGUUCACUGUGCGUUCGUCUUCGGCAAGGCGAGGGUUCUGCCCCUGAAUGGAAAGCUCACCGUCCCACGAGCGGAGCUGACAGCAGCCACUCUGGCUGCUCGCAUUGAAGCCAUACUGCGACGCGCUCUGCAAGUCAAGAUUGAUGAAAGUGUGUUCUGGACGGACAGCACAACAGUGCUUCGCUACCUCCAGAAUGAAACGACACGUUUUCACACGUUCGUCACCAACCGUCUGGCCGUGAUAAGGGACGUAUCUUCUCCGGCACAAUGGAGGUACGUUGACUCAGCGAACAACCCGGCAGACGAUGCAUCGAGGGGACAAUUAGCGGACAACUUCAUCGCGAACCCGCGGUGGUUCGAUGCUCCGGCCUUUUUGUGGAAGGGACGGGAUGAGUGGCCUGAGCCCCCGGCUGGACUCGAUCGUCGAGUAGAAAACGACCCAGAGGUGAAGAUCACCAGCGUUGCAGUCGCGCAAGCUGGCUGCGACCCGUUGGAGGAGCUGUUUUCUCACUACUCUGUCUGGUACAGACUCGUGCGCGCUGUAGCAUGGAUCCUUCGCCUGAAGCGCUGCUUGGUAGAACGAUGCCGUAAGCUGUCCGUACUCGGAUCCGAGCCGAAGGCUCAGGAGAGACAGCGGCUUACUGUGCCAGAACUUGAAGCAGCUGAGAGGGCAAUAGUCACAAGGAUUCAAAGAAGUGAGUUUGCCGCUGAUUUGGCCUCGCUGGAAGGGAAGGGCGCCGUCGGACUCACCAGUCCUCUCGCACGGCUGGACCCGUAUCUGCACGACGGGAUGAUCAUGGUAGGCGGACGUCUACGCCACGCACCAAUGCGGGAAGACCAGGCGCACCCUCCUGUCCUUCCCAGACGUCAUCAUGUUGUCGAUCUGAUUAUUCAGAGCAUCCAUGAAGAAGCAGGUCACUCUGGAAGAGAGCACACUUUGUCGCUGCUGCGCUCGAGAUUCUGGAUCCUGCGCGGAAACUCGGCUGUCCGACGCGUCCUCAGUCGCUGUGUCAGCUGUCGUCGUCGUCAGGGCCCGCUCCUGAACCAGAAGAUGGCGAACCUGCCUGAGGACAGGGUGACCCCGGAUGAGCCACCAUUCACAAACACCGGGCUGGAUAUGUUUGGCGUCUUCUACGUCAGGAAGGGACGACGACGGGAGAAAAGGUACGGAAUCGUUUUUUCGUGCCUCGUCUCGAGGGCAGUACACAUAGAAGUAGUUGAGUCGAUGUCUACCGAUUCGUUCCUCUGCGCUCUGAGACGAUUCCUUGCUAGACGCGGGCAAGUUAAGACCAUCCGAUCAGAUCGUGGCACGAACUUUGUGGGAGCAAACAAUGAACUGAAAGCAGAAUGGGAACACCUCUCGAGGAGUGAGGACGUCAUACAUGAGGACCUGCUGCAGAGGAAGAUUCAGUGGAACUUCAACGUCCCAGAAGCUUCGUCACAUGGGGGUGUCUGGGAGAGAGUCAUUCGUACCAUACGGAAGGUUCUAGAUGCACUGAUGACAGAACAAGUACUCACCGAAGAGACCCUGACAACUCUCCUCUGCGAAGUCGAGUCCAUUAUAAAUAGUCGCCCACUGACGUACGUGUCCAGCGAUAGCGGUGACCCACAGCCACUGACUCCCAACCAUCUCUUGCUGGCGGGAGGCGCGCUAUCCGUCCCGGUGGGAGUAUUCGGAGCGGGUGACCUGUACUUGAGGAGACGGUGGCGCCAAGCGCAAUACUUGGCCGGCAUUUUUUGGUCCAGGUGGAUCAAAGAAUACAUUCCACUCUUGCAGCAGAGGCAGAAGGCCUUUCGUGUUACGAGAUCACUCAUGGUGAACGACGUCGUCCUGGUAGCCGAUAGGGAGCUCCCCAGGUCUCGCUGGCCCCUGGGCCGCGUCAUUGAAACUUUUCCGGGCAAGGAUGGCCUGGUUCGUAGUGUUAGAUUGAGAGCAAAGGGCGCAGAGAUACUCCGCCCUGUCAACAAACUGGUCCUCAUGUGCGAAAACGAGUAUUGUGAACGCUAGGACUGUGUUUGACUGCGCGUGUCUCGUCUCAUGUGUUAGUUUAGGGCUGUUGAAAUAGGCUAAGACCAGUGUUGAAUGCGCGUGCCUUCAAAGGGGGCGGUGUAGGCGCCAUGCGGUUUAGUAGCCUGUUCCUGCGGGCGGCCGGCCCUCCCCUCCCCGGCGCAUCCCUCCUCCCCCCUUGGGCCGGUGGCUGACCUUGCCGAUCAGCUGAUCGCCGGCCGCGCCCUAGUGGUGGGCGGGGGGCUUGUGCCGGGGAUGAGCUAAGUACUGUGAGGCUGCAAUGUUUGUUUCUUUUCUUUUGUGGGUAUCUGAUACUCUAUGCCUAUGAUUUUGCGAACUUUGGGCCUUUGAGCCUUAUUUGUAAUACCAAUAGCGCGCGAUUCGUCAAGCUUUGUUCAUGUUUCGAAGUACUGGUAUUUGUUUUGCGUAGAUCCAGCGGCGCCGCCGCGCUCUAUUGGCUGCCAUGUUGGCGAGCGGGGCGAGUGCAGGCAUUUUUGGUCCAAGAUCGGUCACGGGCCGUGAUGAAGAACUUGUUUGUCUUUUGAUUCGCCUUAAUAUAGGCGGUUGCCCUUGUCGGAGUAGUGGGAGGCGAGCAGGCCCGACGAAACGCGACAGUCGAAACGGUACAAUACAAGAACCAGUUCCGACAACCAUCGUCUGGGUGUACAGGCGGCUACAGCGGGU